rnacentral:rRNA from 1 species
GAUGAACGCUGGCGGCGUGCUUAACACAUGCAAGUCGAACGGUGAAGCAGGAGCUUGCUCUUGUGGAUCAGUGGCGAACGGGUGAGUAACACGUGAGCAACCUGCCCCUGACUCUGGGAUAAGCGCUGGAAACGGCGUCUAAUACUGGAUAUGUGAUGUGACCGCAUGGUCUGCAUCUGGAAAGAAUUUCGGUUGGGGAUGGGCUCGCGGCCUAUCAGCUUGUUGGUGAGGUAAUGGCUCACCAAGGCGUCGACGGGUAGCCGGCCUGAGAGGGUGACGGGCCACACUGGGACUGAGACACGGCCCGGACUCCUACGGGAGGCAGCAGUGGGGAAUAUUGCACAAUGGGCGGAAGCCUGAGGCAGCAACGCCGCGUGAGGGAUGACGGCCUUCGGGUUGUAAACCUCUUUUAGCAGGGAAGAAGCGAAAGUGACGGUACCUGCAGAAAAAGCACCGGCUAACUACGUGCCAGCAGCCGCCGUAA